AUAAGAUCGAGGAAUUGUCCGUAGAGCUCAUAGAAAGGAUUGUGUCGAGGCACAGACCUGGGGAAGGGUACUAAAAAUAUUCUGCAGCAUUGAAGCUCCCCCAAAACACACUGGCCUCCAUUAUUCUUAAAUUGUUUUUAUCCCUUUCUCUCCCCAAUUUCGUGGUAUCCAAUUAGUAGUUAGUCUUGUCUAAUCGCUGCAACUCCCGUAAAGCCUCAGGAGAGGCGAAGGUCGAGAGCCGUGCGUCCUCCGAAACACCACCCACCCAAACCGCACUGCUUCUUGACACAAUCCGGGGAUAAUACUUCAAAACUGCUGCUGGAGAACUACAGAUACAACCUCUCUCAGCAGCUUUGGAUUCUCCCAGUCUGCCUGACGCUCCCAGAGAGAGACAGCUAAAUCCCACCCCCUACGUACAAAACAGCCCUCUAAGUCAACACCACAGAAAGAACAUAUACAUAUAUGUAUACUGCAGACAGACCUCCAGUGCAGGAGUGUUGAAACAUUGAUUGCGGAGGAAGGGAGCAGACAAAGGGGAUUCCAUCCCUGUGGUGAUGGGGUCUUGGGAUCACGUCUCUGCCACCUUCUCUACAGCUCUGGUGCACCAGCGGACUCUACGGCUCUCCCCAGACACCAGCGCAGCCAGAGCCUAAGCAAAGAUACGCCAGGCGUCCCAGGCGCCAGGCGUUUUUGGAGCAUAGUAAUGCCGAAAGAGGCUGUUAGAAGUAUAUGUCAGGCUUCUCCAUCAGGAGACUGCAGUAAGGCAUUGCAUUGUAGCUCAUACACAUAGUUGUUUGUGUAUCAGCUGAGGCAGAUGCAGAAAAGUUAUAGAGUUCAGGAUCUUGGCAACAUUGAGCUGGCUUGAAGUUGCUAUUUAACUGAAAAUGAAUUUGAUUCAUUCACAAACUGUGGUAUCAUGUUUUUUCUUUCUUGAACUGUUAUGUUAAUCACUUUGCUACUUUGGAUUGCAAAUGUGCAUUUGUUGACUUCACGCAUUUAGCAAAAUUAUCCCCAGGGGAUAGUGAAACAGUUACCUAGUUUAGAAUGGUAAAGCAAUAAGACUGAGCAUAACGAGCCUAUCAAGCACAUUCAUUAUUUAAACUCAUAAAGAAUCUGGUCAUGCACAAACACACACUAAAAAUAAGUGUCUUAAAAUGAUCAGUCUAGAAAAGGGAGUGGCUAGGUAAAAGACAAGCCAUGGUGUGUGUCUGUGUGUUUAGCUAAGUGUGUGGUCUUCUAGGCUCUACUAUUGUGUCACCAACACAAUGCCACGAAUGCAGAUGUGUCUAAUGAUUUACAGAGUACUCUGACGAGGGAGGGGUAAGUUCCUAUGGCAACAUUGAUGAUCAGAGCAUGACAUCUUGUGUGGGUUCCCUCCUGUCCUUACUGUCAGUCCAACCCUUCACCUAUUGAGGAGUAUACUUGAUGGUAGAACAACCAAUUCAUUGUGAAGUAUGCUUCCCAUGGCAUGUUAGGGUGCAAUAUUUUUGUCCUUUCUUUGUAUUUCCUUGCACUAGAAAUGCCAAAUUACUUUUCUGAAGGUGGGUUAAAAAAUAAAAACAAAAUAUGGCAGACACAGUAUUUAUCUGAAAAUGUAAAAU
ensembl:lncRNA